UACGUAGGGUGCGAGCGUUGUCCGGAAUUAUUGGGCGUAAAGGGCUCGUAGGCGGUUUGUCACGUCGGGAGUGAAAACUCAGGGCUUAACCCUGAGCCUGCUUCCGAUACGGGCAGACUAGAGGUAUGCAGGGGAGAACGGAAUUCCUGGUGUAGCGGUGAAAUGCGCAGAAUAUCAGGAGGAACACCGGUGGCGGAGGCGGUUCUCUGGGCAUUACCUGACGCUGAGGAGCGAAAAGUGUGGGGGAGCGAACAGGA
rnacentral:rRNA from 1 species